GGGCCCGCACAAGCGGCGGAGCAUGCGGAUUAAUUCGAUGCAACGCGAAGAACCUUACCUGGGUUUGACAUGGGCGGAAAUCCGGCAGAGAUGUCGGGUCCUUCGGGGCCGUUCACAGGUGGUGCAUGGCUGUCGUCAGCUCGUGUCGUGAGAUGUUGGGUUAAGUCCCGCAACGAGCGCAACCCUCGUUCGAUGUUGCCAGCGGUUCGGCCGGGGACUCAUCGAAGACUGCCGGGGUCAACUCGGAGGAAGGUGGGGAUGACGUCAAGUCAUCAUGCCCCUUAUGUCCAGGGCUUCACGCAUGCUACAAUGGCCGGUACAAAGGGCUGCGAUACCGUGAGGUGGAGCGAAUCCCAAAAAGCCGGUCUCAGUUCGGAUCGGGGUCUGCAACUCGACCCCGUGAAGUCGGAGUCGCUAGUAAUCGCAGAUCAGCAACGCUGCGGUGAAUACGUUCCCGGGCCUU
rnacentral:rRNA from 1 species